CUCCUCUGCAGCAGCUCAUGCCCCAACCUGCACUGAUGCCUGCAGUUAUCCAUCCCCAGGUGCAAGACUCUACGCCUCGUUGGGUUCCUCUCUGCCCAGACAGAAAACAAAGGAGUACAUGCAGCAUUUCUCUUAGAGAGAAGCUCUAUCUUGGAUGAAAAUCAGCCCCUUUGUACGUUAUUGAGACAUAAGAGGGAGUAGGAUGCUGCUGCUUCGAGGGAAUGGGCUGGUGCUGUUAGGUUCAUUCUUCUUCCUGAGGCAGUCAGUAGGUGCUGCUGCUGCUGCUUUCCAUUAAUUUCCUUUAAACAAGAGUUUAUUUCUCAUCUUGAUUCCCACCUUCUCAGGCAGCAAGUCAUUCCUUUUCUUGUCUUGUGGUGUCAGUAGUGUUGUUUUCAGGAUGCCUCCUGUAUGAAGCCUUCAGCCACACUUCAGGAUGUCGUUGCAUCCCAGGUUUGGUUACUUCUUGGUCCUGAUGCUCAGCUGGAGUUUUGGGCUGGCAGGUUUUUUCCCUCCUAUUUGUGUUUCAGCAGCCAUUUAAUAUUAGAAGGUCCACGUGCCACCCCCUGUGCCUUCUUACGUGCCCCCUCCCAAGCUCUUUGCUGCCAGCACCUUGUUCUUCAUACCCAGUGCCCUGUGGAUCCCGGGUUGCUUGAGAGAUGCUGUUUAUAGCCAGUAGAGAAAAGGAGGCUGACCUGGGCUGGAUGUCAGGCUGAGGAGCAGCGAGCCCUGUGCCUCUGUCUUGUCGUUGGCUGUAGAAAUGAAUUUGGUCACUGAGCUUUGUUGUAGCUACUUGUGCUGCAUGCAUCCCCUAGCAGCUUGAGUGCAGCAAUUCACGUAAAUCUCACUAUUAGAAUCUUCUGCGUCUCCGUUGUGGUUUUCCUUCUGACACAAAUGCUUAUUCUGACAAAAAAUAAUGGUCUGGAUGGAAAUACCGGAGGUGAAGUUCGCUGGCAGCUGCUACACAACUCAGGCAACGUUAUCCCCUUCCAGCAUUAAAGUCUGUGGAAGUUCCCUCACUUCAUAUCAGCUGAUUUCACAUCACUGAUCCUGACAGUGCUGCUUUCAUGCUUUAACAGUAUCUUACCACUCUUGAAAGUCUGUCGCUGGGAAAUAGUUAGCAAGAACCAGCACUUCUGGGAGCAGAGCUGGCUUCCAAAUUAAUUUCAUGGCAUUUGAAAGAGUUCAGUCAUCUGCCUGGCCCUCUUGUAAGUCACACACUAUGAAAUUCCACUGACAGCCAAACACAGGCACCUCAGGUAAGUCAAAGUUUGUAAUUCCUGCAAAGAAAAGCAGCAGCACCAAAAGAAAUUGAAGAGUUGUAAAGUGAUGGGAGAUGGGUGAGGAAAAAAGGGCUCCGUGGGCAGCAGCUGAACCCUCCUGUCUACAAUUUGUAUGGAGAUCACAAGAUUCCAGCUCUGCCCCAGUUUCACCUACCUCCACAAAUUGGGAAUGACUUCAUUUUGAAACCACAUCUGAGGAAAACAGAGUGUUGCUACUUGGGUCACCCCGUGGUUCUGCUCAUUGGUUUCAUGGUUGUGUGUCUGUUUUGUGUCAGGUUGGAGUCGAGUGAGUGGACGUCCUCCCUGAGCACCAGCAUCGAUAUGGCUCCAGGUCACGAGCAUUCCUUGCUGAUUGACUCCACGGAUAAUAACUUCAGCAAAACUCGGAAUAUCCCCGGACUGCGGCGCCUGUUACGCUCUCUCUUCCGCUCCCGGACCCACUUGCCCAUGCUGGUGGCCCUGUACCUGCUUGCCCUUCACGUCCUGCUCUUCCUGUGCUUCACAGGCCACCUCUGAGCAGGAGCAGCGGCCCUUCCUUGAGCCACAGCCCUCUGUGAUCCUGGGCCUGCACUCCCCAUCCGCAGGGCAGCUGAAACAGGCGCUUCACCCACCGCCUUCUUUGCGAGUCCCCCAUGGGCAGCACUGCCCAGUGGUUGAUGCGUGCCCUGGGUGCUCGUUGUUGGGAUGGGCGGCAGCCAGGGCUGUUGCCAGAGGUGUUUCCAGGACAUCUCUCACUUCGUUCUGUGGUUUUAAAUGAUUGAGCAGUACUUUUUCUGAGCUGGGCUCCUCCUGCUAACAGUCGCUGUAUCUGUUCCUGUACCCAGAGGGAGCACUGCUCAUUUUAUGGAGCAUUUUACCACGGUAGGAAUGAGUAAAUUCUUCCUGGAUUGCUGCAACGCUUCCAGAAAAUGCCAGAUCUUCAUUCACCCUCGUCCUGAGUCUGUUGAGCUGGGGGGGGGAAGCUCUGGAGCUGUGCACCAGGCAGGGAAGCUCCUUCCCUUCCUCACGUCUCCUGUUUGCUCCAUGGCUCAGUGCUGUUUGAGAUGCAUAUCCUAAGGAAACUGUGGACACUUGAAGGAAUGUGAAUUUCCCAUUUCCUGCUCAGUUACAUCUACGGUUGAAGUAGGGCCAAAAUCAGUACAUCUGGACCUGCUGAGCACUGCAUUUAAAGACAGCUGUAUGUCUGCUCUGACUGCCUUGUAAAAUAGCUUCAGAAAUGUAAUUAUUGAAUAUGAGGCAAGAGCUUUUUAUCUCUCACUUCAGUAACCUCUCAAAAGGAGAGCAGCUGUGCUCCCUCUUCCUGCUCUGCUGCGCCAGCUUAAAGCCAUGUGGGCUGUGUUGGAGGGUUCCAUCGCGUGGUUCCAUCACAGGGGCCAGAGUCAAAGGCAGAAGAUCCUGAACUGAAAGGGUUCCCCCGGCGCUGGGGAAGGGAGAGGAGUUCUGAGCCUUUGGUGUCCCUGCUUAUGGAGAAGUUGUGCGGCGCUGGCGCUGGGCCCUGGGCUGUUCUGACUCUGAGGCAAACCGUGUGGAUGGAUUUGGUCAUACGGGAUGCGUGGGAAGCUGUGCUUUUCUAUGGAACUCUGUCAUGGAGUUGGGACAGUCCUCUUCCAAAGGGAGAAUGUUGAGUGCAGGGCUGGUUGAGCAGAGCUUCCUGCUGUUGGCCAAGCUGCGAUGCGUUCAGGGUCCUUGCUGGGAGGGUCCUGGCUGCUUUGUGGCAUAGUGCUCAGCUUGCAUUUUUCCACGUGGGAAAGAGGGGUUCUGAUGCUGCUGGUAACCCAGCAGUCCCCAGCUGCUGCAAAGCCUCUUUGAAGGUGGAUUGAGUUCAGCACUGUACCUAGAACAAUGGGAUCUGUGGCGCUGCGGGCACUACAUCUCCCUUUGUGUGCUACCCUGACGAUCUCUGUGGACUUUCUCAGCUGCAUACACUUCUCUGACCAAAAACUUUGCCUAUAUCUUCCUGGGGCGCCUGCUCCUGUAUAUAAUAAAGAUUAUUUUUCAGAUGGAA